CGGGCAGCAAGCUGGGACCGAAAAAGAGAAAAAAAAUUAGGGGAAAAAUGGAAGAAAAAAUGAAGGAAAGAAGAAAAGGGAAGAAGAAGAAAAGAAGUAAGGCUAAUUUCUUCAAGUUUGGGUUGAAUUUUUCCAUUUGUUUCAAGUGAUAAAGUAUGAAUUCUGUUAAAAUUCUAGAGUUUUAUUUUGGCUUGAAAUUUUCAGAUUUUUUUCAAAUGAAUGCUACUUGGAGCUCAAGUUAUUAAUUCUUGAAUUUCUAUCUACAUUAAGGUAAGGAGAUGUCAAUUUUUCUUAGAGAAACCCUAGAAUUUGAUUUUGGGAUUUUUGAUUAAUUAAUUGUGGAAAUGAUUAUAUAAAUGGAGUAUUUCACUUGGGAGUUGAUUUUAUGGAACAAAUGUAUAUUAAAUGGGUGGAAUUGUAGUUACUAGUUUCAUUAGAUUGGAGAGUAAAAUUAGUUUUAAACUUGGGAAGAAGGUUUUGUUGAUGAAUUAGUUAUUAGAAAAGGGAUUAGAAAGUGGGAUUAGCUCCAAUUGAUCAAAAGAAUAUUUGGAAAAUUCAUUCGAGCAUCGACCAAUUUUAGUUAAGUAUUAUAGAAGUAGAUCUUAAAGUUUCUUAAUUCAAUAGUGGUUGAUUAGUCAUCUUGUUAUAUAUUCCAGGUGGUGACGAGGAGAUUGGAAGAGCCUAUCGACCAUCUUAGGUUCAGCUUGUAUUAUGUGAGUGGAUAAGCUUAUUUUUCAGAAAUUAGUAUUAUCUAAUUUAUAUUAACUCAGAAAAUUUAUUAGUUCAUACAGUUGAUUUGACAAUACGAUUUUCAGAAUAAAGUUGAUUUAUAACUAGUUGUUUUUAAAAGUUAAAUUCAAUUUAGUAAAUCAUUUUAUUAACAUGUUAUUUAGUAUUAAAUAUUUUAGUAUAUUCAAAGUUAUUUUAAAACCACUAGAAAGCACCCAAGUGAUUUUAUCCUCGUCUGCACUGGUGUGAAUGUGUUUCCACAGUGUAUGACUUCAUAUGGAUAUUUUACCCACUCUGCGCUGGUGUGAAUGUGUUUCCACAGCGUAUGAUCAGUAUAGUGAUUUUACCCGCUCUGCACUAUUGUGAAUGUGUUUCCAUAGUGUAUGACCAUUUUAUAGCUCUGCGCGCGUACGACCAGAAUUUCAAAAUCUCAGAAUUUCAGAAUUAAAUAACCUUGCUAUGUAUAUCGAGAUUAAUCAAUUCACGAGUAUGGUUAUUUCGGGUACAUUUUUGGUGUGAUGUUUCAGUAUCACAUAGCUUAUUAGAUUUUAGAAAUGCAGUAUACAGAAUAAAGAUGUUUAUGAUUACAGUAUAUUUUAGUUUUGAUUGUAUCAUCAGAUUUUAAGUUACAGAACUCAGCCUAUUCAGUUUAAAGAAUAAAUAUUUUAGUUUAUAUGUCUGUGAAAGGAAAUUUUAUGCUAUAUGUCGGUUUUCAGAAAGAUUUUAUGAAUGGAAAAUUAUAUUUUUGCAAAUAUCCACUCACCGAGUUAUAGGCUCACAUUUUUAUCACUAUUUCUCUUAUCAGAUAGUAGCUGAGUUGAACACUACUGGGCCAGUUGAUCUAUCAAGUUGAGUCAUAGAUUGUGAAGCAUUGUAUGAAUUAUCUUUUUAGUUUAAUAGUUCAUAUUUUGGGAUAGACACCUCCUUUGGUCAUAAAUUAAUUCCAUGUGUUGGGCUUGCGAUGUUUUGUAUAUAUAUUAUGCAUUUUGGGUACUGUGGUUUAGAAAUUGUUGCAAAAGUCAAAUUGCCGGUGUUGUAUUUGAAUAGUUGAUAUUUUGAGGGGCCGGUGUACCCUAUUUCAAACUAUAUGUACAUGUUUGGGAUUUUUGAUUUUAUUUUCAGG
rnacentral:lncRNA from 1 species